rnacentral:rRNA from 1 species
GGUUAAGCGACUAAGCGUACACGGUGGAUGCCCUGGCAGUCAGAGGCGACGAAGGACGUGCUAAUCUGCGAAAAGCGCCGGCGAGGUGAUAUGAACCCUUGACCCGGCGAUGUCCGAAUGGGGAAACCCAGUGCAAUUCGUUGCACUAUCGUUAACUGAAUACAUAGGUU